CCAUUGUUAAGAUGUGAAUUUUCUUUUGCUUCUUAAUAAAGUUGGAAAGAAAAUUUGUUCUCAUCAUCAAAUUGCAACUCUCUGCUGAAAAAAUUCAUUGUUAAGAGAUAUAUAUGGAGGCUAAUGAGGCUUCUUGUGAGAUCAGUUCGUCUAUCUCGAGAAAACGA